rnacentral:rRNA from 1 species
CACGGGGGGAGCAAGCGUUGUUCGGAAUCACUGGGCGUAAAGGGCGUGUAGGCGGUCAAGUAAGUGGAAUGUGAAAGCCCCCGGCUUACCCGGGGAUCUGCAUCCCAAACUGCUUGGCUUGAGUACGGGAGAGGAUAGGGGAAUUCCUGGUGUAGCGGUGAAAUGCGUAGAUAUCAGGAGGAACACCGGUGGCGAAGGCGGCUCUCUGGACGGUGACUGACGCUGAGACGCGAAAGCGUGGGAGCAAACAGG